UCACGAAGAAAACCUUAACAA
rnacentral:piRNA from 1 species